AACGAACGCUGGCGGCAGGCUUAACACAUGCAAGUCGAACGCGUCCUUCGGGACGAGUGGCAGACGGGUGAGUAACGCGUGGGAACCUACCUUUUGGUACGGAAUAACUCAGGGAAACUUGAGCUAAUACCGUAUGUGCCCUGUCCUUUAACGGGAUUUGGGGAAAGAUUUAUCGCCAGAGGAUGGGCCCGCGUCGGAUUAGCUAGUUGGUGGGGUAAUGGCCUACCAAGGCGACGAUCCGUAGCUGGUCUGAGAGGAUGAUCAGCCACACUGGGACUGAGACACGGCCCAGACUCCUACGGGAGGCAGCAGUGGGGAAUAUUGGACAAUGGGGGCAACCCUGAUCCAGCCAUGCCGCGUGAGUGAUGAAGGCCUUAGGGUUGUAAAGCUCUUUCGCCGGUGAAGAUAAUGACGGUAACCGGAGAAGAAGCCCCGGCUAACUUCGUGCCAGCCGCCGCAGUAACAC
rnacentral:rRNA from 1 species